rnacentral:rRNA from 1 species
UACGUAGGGUGCAAGCGUUGUCCGGAAUUAUUGGGCGUAAAGAGCUCGUAGGCGGUUCGUCGCGUCGGCUGUGAAAACCCGGAGCUCAACUCCGGGCCUGCAGUCGAUACGGGCGGACUGGAGUGUUGCAGGGGAGACUGGAAUUCCUGGUGUAGCGGUGGAAUGCGCAGAUAUCAGGAGGAACACCGAUGGCGAAGGCAGGUCUCUGGGCAUUAACUGACGCUGAGGAGCGAAAGCAUGGGGAGCGAACAGG